rnacentral:hammerhead_ribozyme from 1 species
AUUCAGCUAAUGAGUCCCAAAUAGGACGAAGUGGCGCACGUCCUGGAU